CGGCAUUUAUUUAUCCUUUCAGCUUUAAUGCAUGAGCUUCCUGAGAAGAGACUGAAGGCUGUGGGAUGGUGCAUUCCUGGACGCUGGCAUCACAGCUGAGGACCGGGCAAGGGUUGCAGGCACAGCUGUCACCAGGAGACAAAUCAGUCUACUCCGGAGGCAGCCAGCUCUGCCACCUCUGACUCCUGGAACGGCUCAGGGGUGGAGCGGUGUGCAGA
rnacentral:lncRNA from 1 species